rnacentral:hammerhead_ribozyme from 17 species
CAAGCGUCUGGGGUAAGGAGUCACUGCCAUAAGCCCCACUGAUGAGUCUAGGCAGUGAUUCCGAGACGAAACGCAAA